rnacentral:lncRNA from 7 species
GGAGGCUGUCAAGGGGCCAGCAGAUAGAAUAUUUAGGGAAUCUCAAGUGGAACUGAUGCUGUGGAGGACACAAAGGUAGUUGUUCUUAGUGCUUAAGGAAAACAAAAGCUUGCUUUCUUCUGGAAGAUUUGUUGCCCUAUGGAAGAUUUGUGGAGGCCAUGAUGAGAGUUUUAGUUGGAGUGCUCUCCUUACUCCUUUCCAUGGAUUCUUUUGUUCCUGAGCUGUUGGGAUGCUUAUUGUAGUUUUUUGACUGGAACUCAGCUUCUGCAGAGAAGGUCAAGAGGUCUGUGAGCAGAAGGAAGGAACCCUGGCCUUUCUGCAGAGGACAUCGUUUGAGUCUUCUAACAGAAAUGCCAGCAUUCAAGCACUGCAAAAAGCCUACUCGGCCCCAGCUAAAAGCUCAGGCUCAAUAUGGUUAUUUCCAGCUCCGUGGGCAGAUGAAGACAUUUCUGGUGUGCUCCCAUUUCUGGAGGUGCCCUGAAAGGAUGACUGUGUUGGCAGCACUCUUCCUGACUCCACUAAAUGCAAGGCUGCAGGGAUAUGCUCAGAACAGGGCCUGACCCUUCCUCUCCUGAAGCCCCACCAGUGCUCACCGUGAAGAACUGCAUGCUGUGAGUGCUGCCAGGCAUCUGCAGCCAAAGGAGGCUCCUGUGUACCACGGAGAGGUGAACGUCCUUAUUUCCCGAUGCCCUCAGAGCCCUCAGAUGCCCUCAGAGUGCCUCCAGGAGCGCCGUGUGCACCACAGUACACGUGGGACAACACUUUCAUGCAGCUCACACACUUCUUCCUGAUGUGCUCCAUUAAGUUCCCUUCCACUUGAUGGAACACCUCUUACCUAUCUAAGAAAUGCUUUCACGUGG